ensembl:lncRNA
ACAGGAGUGGACAAGGACACGGAGACACACAUGCCCACGAGACCUUCCAGCACGGAGGAGGCUGGGCAGGAAAGCACAAAACAGGCAGCAACUCAUUUAGCCACCACUCUCCUCUUCAGAGCCACGUUGCUGCACAAAACAAAACCCAGGCUCUGCAGACCAUCUCCUGCUCUCGCCGAUCGCAGCCUGCGAGGCUCAGCCCUGCUCUAUUAUCCGGCAGGAUGGACUUCCCAUUUCUCCAGCUUUAGCCUCAUGCGAGGUUGCUCUCCUCCUUCAAAAACUUCCAGAAACAUGGCUUGCAGCUCCGACACCCCAGAUGGGCACGUCCAGGGAUGGAGGGGAAGAUGAACAGAAAUGGCAUCCCCACAGUCCACAGCAAAGACCCCGGGACUGCCGGCGCCUGGUGCCUGCCCAGCACCCACUCCUCUGCAGCAGUGGGACAGAGGGACAGGACCCAUCCCCACGGGCAGAGCCCACUUCGCCCAGCUCUGCCAGCACAUCCCAGCAGAGCACGUGGCCAUGGCAGGGCUGACACAGUCCCUUCCCACUCAGCUCCGCAGGCGCCGCCGCGCACGGCUCAGCCCUAACGGGAUAACAAGCUCACAAUGAGAUCCUAAUGAAGGAUUAGCGAAAUACAGUUUAAAGAGAUUAAAGCUGGGUGCAGCACUGAAACUUUCUUAUUUAUUUAAUUUUUUUUUCCUGAGAGCCCGGCAGAGGUGAGACCCAGAUUACAGCCAACACGGACAGAGCUGGCAUUCACUGCCAGCUCCAGCAACUUGGGAUGGUUUUUCCAUUGCAUUCAUGCAAAGAGGGGUUGGGGCUGCAAAAAGUAUGGAGGAACACACAAAAAAUGGCUAAAAUGGCUCGUGGCGCCUGCAAGCCCUGCCCGAGGCACUUCACAGCGAGCCAGAGGCUUUCUUCAUCUCUCCCUUCCCACACCAGUCCCUUCCCAUCUGCAUCCCAGCUGCGCGAUGCUCUCGGUCCUGUUCAUAAUGACUGUUGAUGUUAUCCGCCGGAGCCAGAGCCUUCCAAGGAGCCCCAGGGAAGCAGGUACUCAACUCUCAUUCAGGGAAAGUUAUUAAUAGUAAUUUCUUGGCUCUACACAAACAGAGCAAGAAGUCAGCCCUGGCCUCGGAGAGCUCGGCGUGACUGCCAGCCCCACGCGCUCCGAAAGGUCAGGAGUCUGGUUCGCCCCCAAAUCAAAGGAGAAUGUUUAAAAUAGAAAGCAACACAUCUGGGGUUGCUUUUUGGAUUGUUUUGGCCACUCGUAUUGUCUUCUGCAACCACCAACACCACAAAUUUUCUCCUCCCAAGAAAGGGCAAUGAGACUGUCACCCUAUCACAGGAAUUCAGGAGUGGGAAUUCACUAAACCAAAAGUGGUAACGCCCCAGCAGAGAAAGGAAUGGGAGGGCAAGGCUGGCACUUGGGAAUGGGCUUAUCUCACAGGCAGUGGGGCAACCGCUCAAAGCCCACCCCUCAUUUCAGCCAAGUCCUCAAAAGCCACGCGACGAGAGGGAGGUGGGGAGCUGAGAAACAUCCCUGUUGAGAAACUACAAAACAAAUCAAAUGAAGAUGUUUGGAGCAGAUCCAGAUGUUUAUUAGUGACGCACAUGGAGGUAUAAAUAAUUAUCCGGUAGGAAUUUUGUUCACAGGCAGCUCUCCCUUAUCUAAUCAGAUCUCAGUGCGACAUGGCCCUGGCCUCCCCCUGCUUAAAAAGUCUUGAGAAAACCAAAUGCAACAUUAGAAAAACCCUCACUAGGGGCACCAAUUUAAUCCCAUUAAUCACUGGACACUGGGAGCAGAGCUGCCAGCACUCAGAUCUCAUACAGGCACAGCUCAAGGGAGGAUUUUUUCCCCCAGUGGAGCGCUGGAGGGGGGGCAGAUCCUGCGCGAAGGUGCAGAGCGGAGCCAGGAGCCGAACCCUCGCACCCUGCCCUGUGCCCGGCACAAGGCACAGGUAAAGUGGCCCAUGUGGGAACAGAAGGCGCCACGGCAUCAGCCGAGCUCCUCCACACCAGCACAAGGAGCUCGCCAGGCUCUCGUCUGUAAGAAACCAACUGCUUAAAAUACACUGGCCAACAAACCCCUCCCUUGUCCGGCUGCGUGGUACUGACCAGCCACUCCAGCACUCGGACACUGCAAUUACCUAAAAAUAAACGGACCACAAACCUCA